rnacentral:rRNA from 1 species
AUGAUAGGAUUGCUUUGGAAUUGUAGGGGGGCAGGCAAGAAAGGCAUGUCUACCUGCCUCACUGAUAUCAUUUGUGCCAAUAAUGUGGACUUUAUUGGUCUUCAAGAGACUAUGAAAAAAACUUAUAAUCCUUCCUAUUUUAGGAAAUUGGACCCUGAAGGUAAAUUCGAAUGGGAUUGGAUUCCUUCUAGGGGUAAAUCAGGGGGUAUUUUGGGUGGUAUGAAUAAGGACAAAUUUGAUCUUAUUAAUGUUAAACAUGGGAAAUAUAUCCUUCAAAUGGAUCUUUUUGAUGAAGGCAAGAAAUGCAACUGGGCUCUGCUGGUUGUGUAUGGAGCAGCCCAGGAUGAAAACAAACCAGAAUUUAUUGCAGAAUUGUCUAAUAUGUGUAAUAGGACCCACAUUCCUUAUUUGGUGGGAGGAGACUUUAAUAUUCUUAGACACAGUGGAGAGAAGAACAAGAAAACUUCCAUGUCCCACUUUUCUGAUGUGUUCAAUUCUGUCAUCCACCUGCUUGGUCUGAGAGAGAUCAGUAUGUCAGGUGGAUGUUAUACUUGGUCUAAUAAGCAGGAAAACCCUACCCUGGACAAAUUGGACAGGAUUUUGACGUCAACGGAUUAG